rnacentral:tRNA from 1 species
GCCGGAGUGGUGGAAUUGGUAGACACCAGGGACUUAAAAUCCCUUGCUCCGUAGGGGCGUGCCGGUUCAAGUCCGGCCUCCGGCACCA